GACGAACGCUGGCGGCGUGCUUAACACAUGCAAGUCGAACGGUAAGGCCCCAGCUUGCUGGGGUACACGAGUGGCGAACGGGUGAGUAACACGUGGGUGACCUGCCCCGCACUUCGGGAUAAGCCUGGGAAACUGGGUCUAAUACCGGAUAGGACCGCACCGUGAGGGUGUGGUGGAAAGUUUUUCGGUGUGGGAUGGGCCCGCGGCCUAUCAGCUUGUUGGUGGGGUAAUGGCCUACCAAGGCGGCGACGGGUAGCCGGCCUGAGAGGGUGGACGGCCACAUUGGGACUGAGACACGGCCCAGACUCCUACGGGAGGCAGCGGUGGGGAAUAUUGCACAAUGGGCGGAAGCCUGAUGAGGCGACGCCGCGUGGGGGAUGACGGCCUUCGGGUUGUAAACUCCUUUCACCAUCGACGAAGGUUUUCUGACGGUAGAUGGAGAAGAAGCACCGGCUAACUACGUG
rnacentral:rRNA from 1 species